UCUACCUUUUAGGUAACCUUGAAGGGCCCUGAUACAUGUUUACUGUUAUUGUCUUAUCAUUUGUCUACUAGUUGUUUAAUUUCGCUCGGGAAAAGACAGCAGCUGGUCGUGUUUUGAUUGUUCUCGGAUGAUCAAAUUAGAAACAGUCUAGAAUAGUCUUUUCAUCUGGAGAACAAAUUAGAAUGUCUCUUCCACGCCCUGCAUUGGUGCAUGCCAGUCAACUGGAGACCUUCAACCUCUUGAACCGAAUUAGAAUGUCUCUUCCACGCCCUGCAUUGGUGUAUGCUAAUGCCCAUUCGAACAGCGAUCACCGAUCCGUAAUGACACCAUUUCAACUUAAUAGAGUAGAGCAAAUCAAUUGCAUAGGCGUAGAGGCAAGACGUCGAGAGUGUCAUUUUGUUAACAGCAUGACAGCGGUACCGGAAAAUGAUGACGAUACUCAACCUCAAUAUGAGGUUUCAGGAAACAGACCCACCUCUGUGUUUGCAGUACCAGUGAACGAAAGCAUUGAAAACUUCAUAGACUACUACACUCGACUUCUGCGUGAAGAAAACGAAAGGUUGAAAUAUCGUCAUUACUGCAUACGCUGUAGAGAGGAAGUCCGCAGCGUUGUAUUCAUGAGUUGCUUAUAUCCACACCUUUUAACUUGCCAAUCCUGUGCCAAUCAUUACGACAGAUGCCCAAUAUGCAAUACGGUAAUUAAAGAUCUUCUGUUUCUUCCAAGUGAGUGAUAAGAAUGAGAUAAGAGAUUUGAUAUCAUUCAAAAAUUUACUGCCUAAAAUGUAUUCAUUCUUUUUGAAAUAUAUUCUAUGAUUUUCUUCUUAUACAAAUCUUCAAUCCAUUGUGAAUUAAGGUUGAAUUUCUAUCACACUUUUACCUACAGCAUACUACAGUAUAUAACUCAUUUCACAUUCUUUUCAGGUUUCUUUUUAUUAUUAUUAUUUUACCUGCAUCAAUAAUCAUCUUUCAUUUGUAAAUAUAGUUUUAAAUACUUUCAGUAUAACUAACUUUGGGAUGAAACCUUUUUGUAUUAUUCUUUUCAUGUUUCUUAUUGUAUUAUUCUUUUCAGGUUUCUUUUUUUAUUAUUAUUUUACCUGCAUCAAUAAUCAUCUUUCAUUUGUAAAUAUAGUUUUAAAUACUUUCAGUAUAACUAACUUUGGGAUAAAACCUUUUUAUUGUAGUAAUCUCAAAUCAGUUAUUGUUGUUACAUAUAUUGGUUUAACUCUUAAUAAAUAUAAUGUAUGUUCUCAACUGAUAUACAUUUGCACUGCGCUUUUACAACUAUAUACUUCAUUACAAUGUGCUCAACAAUGUGUUCGAAUAGUGUCUUGAAAUUUAUAUUUUCGGGACAUUAAAAUAUUUUUAAUGAAAAAAUUAAAAAAAAACAAUCGUUAUGAAUAAUGUAAUAUUUUGCAUAAAUGUGUCUGUGCUAACAAAACAAAAACAAGACAGAAAUGAAAACAUGUGAUUUAAUGUUAGUUUUUGUAUUUAAAGUUAAUUUAGAUUAGUUACAAAUCAUAGAUGUAGCAAGUAAUUCGAGAGGACAUAAAUAUAUCGCAGAGAAUAUACUUAUUAACUGCUGUAUAAUGUUACCCUAAUAUUGGUUUAUUACAUGCUCGUAUUAUCAUGUUAUAAAUGUGAUAUAUUUUAAGAUAGAAUGUUGAUGUUAAUAUAAUUAUAUGGGUAUAUAGAUAAUAGUUUUAUUUUGAGCUGUUUACGAAGUUCUUUUUUAUUCAGUGCGAAUGUGAAAUAUGUGUUUUAAAUAUUAUGUAACAUUUAUGACAAAGUGGAUUAUUUUCAAGCUUGUAAUAUUUGCCCAUUAUGUGUUCACAAACAUAUAUUUUUAAACUUUACAACAUUAUUUUUUGAUGUGUUCAUAUUUAAUAUUUACUUUCAUAUUUAAUUAAAUUUAUAUACAAAUAUUGCCUUUCACUAAAAUGUGAUUCCAGGGAUAAAGGUUGUCAGCCUUUUUAAUUUCUCAUUAACGAACCAAUGAAAUAAGUUCCUAGCAGUAGUAUAUCUCCUAAACUUUUCAAAGUAUUUAUUUGAACUUAAAAAUAAAUAUGUGGUUAAAAGGAAAAAAUAAACUCACACCAUUUCUACAUUUACUUGUCUUGAAAACAGCUCUAAAAUACGAGGGUUGUUCAAAACGUAAUAGGACUAAGAUUAUUGCGUUUCAUUAAUUGAAAAAAUUAAAACAAUGAAAAAAUUACGUAAAAUGCAUAAUACUUCAGAUUUAUGAUACUCGUUAUGUAUCUCAGAGUAAAAUUGUAUGGUUUUGUAAUAUAUUUAAAGAUAAUAUAACAAUUUGUAAAUUAGACUGACUACCUUUAACCCAACUUCUUUUCUGUGAUUAUAGAUGUGUUCAGGUUUUAUUUAUUUUUGUAUUUUGUUUUAUGUUUUGACUUUUUGUAGAAUUUGUAUCAUAGAUUAAAUGUGUACCUAAAUAUGACUUGCGCAAAGCUACAUUGAUAUGCUUGUUGAUCAAAUCAUAACUAGAAUACAAUACUCGAGAAAGAUGUAAUUCAUUAGCCACACGUACGUAUAAUAAGAGCAAAAACAUUCCGAGUAGCAUGUUAUUUAAAACGCAAAUUUACAUAAUUAUAUAACUUAAAAAAAGUUAAAGCAUACUUGUUUAUUCCCACCAGUCAAUAGUGGGUUUUAUCUGUGAAAUUAAGUUGAUGAGAGAACAUAAAUAUUAAGUUCACAUUUAUUAUAUGACCAACUUUUUGUUGACUUUUUAGAGUCUAGCCAUAAAUAAAAAUGAAUACUCGUUUUUAAGGUUUUUUAAUGAUUCCUUUAUUGAUAUAACAUAACAUGAGAGGUAUUUUCAAUGUAUAGUCUGCUUAUCUUGCAAUAUUUCUGUCAGUUUUUGUCUUUUGGUCAUAUUGAACAUAUAGUGUGUUAUGAAAUAUAAUUUAUCUGCAGAUAAAAUUAGAAAGAGGGUAUUCAAAUAGCGAUAUAUGUCACUUCGUCCGUCCUAUUUAUUUAUUUAUUUAUUUAUAUCUUGGAAUACAUUUGUCAGUAGUAAAACAAAUAUACAUUAAGUUGUGAUGAAAGCACAAAUGAACUUACCUAAAUCCAACAAUAGUAUUUUAGUCAUGGCCUUUUGUUAAUUUAAAAACAAACUUAACAAUUGGUUUAUUGAAUUGUAAUAAAUGUAACAAUGAAUGUUAAUAUGUUAAGGAAAAAAUGCUCGUCACAUACUACAAUGUACUACUUUAAUGAGAUUGUAAAUUGUUAUUCUGCUUUUAAAGCUUUUUUGUAUAGAAUUAAUACUCAAUACUUAUUAUUUUUCAUAAGUCUGUAAUCCAACGUAUGUAUUGAUUACUAUUAUCAACAAAGAAUCUUUGAAAUUAAUAAUUCUAGUAAGCUCGAUACGUAUAGUAUUAUCAAAAGUACGUUUGGAAAAGAGAAGUAUCUUAAUUGUAUAAUAAGUACUAAAUUCAGAAUAGUCAUUCGUGUUUAAGAUGUUUUGUUCAUAAAAUAUUGACUGGAGGAGAAAGGUUUAGAAAUAUUGAAAGAAAUCAACGAGUUGGUUUAAAAUUCAUUAUGAAGUGAAAACUGGAUAUCAUUUUUCCAUAGCUUGUCCUACAAAAAGAAUAUAAAAAUUUUGCCAAAAAACUACUUCUUUUGGCCAAAUGUACAUAAAUUUUAAGGGUAAAUGAAUAACUCAUAACAGAAUAACAUAAAGAAAUUGUUUAAAAUUUAUAUUCUAUGCAACUGAAGCUAGAGAAACAACUGGUAGCUAUAUAAUUCCAACAAAUUUUAAACAUCGAUAAUUUUAUUCUAAGUAUUUAUUUCAUGACUGUGAUAUUAUAUAUGUAAUAUACGUUUUCUUGUAUUUAGAUGUUUUAUGCAUUUGUUUUAUAUGUUUAUAAGUAAUGUAUACACGCCAUUAUUGUUUAUGGCAAUACACAUUAUGUUCGUGCCUUAAUAUAAUCUUGAACCUUGCAUGUCCUGAUUUAUGAUUUUUUUGCUAUAAGGAAAUGAUUUAGAUUUAAUAUACGGGCAUUUGUGCAUGUAAGAGUAACAUUCCAUUCAUAACUUUUCAUCAGCCAUUUUCUUUUUCAGAACAAUACCUACCCCAAGCCUAAUCGUACAAGUAAAGCUACCUCGCUUAAAUUGUAUUUAAUUGUAUAAAUUAAAAUUAGAAUUGCCAAAAACAAAGAAAAAAAAACUUAUUAAUUUAUUUAUUUCAAAAGCUUUUUCACUUGACAUGGCUUAAUGUUAUGGCUUUUGUUUAAUUUUAAGUAAACACAAGUUUCUCUCAUAUUCUGAGAUUGAUAUUUUACAGCGAUCGAGUUAUAUUAAUUCAGCGGACGUGCUUUAACUGUACAUUUACAUGUACAUAGUAAUAUGGAGAUAUGAAUUACAUUUACACAUUUUACUCACAUUGUUUUAUUUUCUUGUAUCCUUUAUGUAUCAAGGACUUUUUUGACAGGUUUUGUUUCAUUAAAUAGUGAAUGAUAUACAAUGUUGUAAAAACAUUCACGUUGAAGCUAUGACCAAUGCCGACAGGAUGAGUGUCGACUAUGCUGCUCGUCCUGCCUGUCCCUUUCAAUUAACAGUGAAUGUUAUAUAUGUUAUGAAACAAAUCGUUGUAUGUACCUUUUAAAAACUAAGAAAAAUUCACAAUAACGAUAGUGUGUGUAAUCUGAUCUAAUAAGGAAGGAAAUUGUAAUCUAAGUGCCGAAAGAUCUCAAGUGCAUUUCGCAUUUAUUCUAACCAUUUAACAAUGUACCAUAUUAUUCACGAUUGAAUAUCUAACUGUUUUAUUUGUUUUGAUCAUGACUAUUUGUUUUAUAUCAUUAUUUGAGUGUGUGACAAUUGUAUUUCAUGAAAACAUAUGUCAUGAGCCCUUUUAUAUACUAUCUGUUUUUGGUUUGAAUAAUGAAAAUAAAGUUUGCUUUGUCAAACAAAAUAACUCUGUAAAGCUUUGUGCUGUAAAUAUGUGAAUAAUAAAUGAAUAAUUUUCUAUAUACAAUCUGUGUGACGAUAAACGAAAUCUUGUUAAAUAUAAUAAAGAGAAAAAUAUUAAACA